rnacentral:rRNA from 1 species
AACGAACGCUGGCGGCAGGCUUAACACAUGCAAGUCGAGCGCCCCGCAAGGGGAGCGGCAGACGGGUGAGUAACGCGUGGGAAUCUACCCAUCUCUACGGAAUAACGCAUGGAAACGUGUGCUAAUACCGUAUACGUCCUUCGGGAGAAAGAUUUAUCGGAGAUGGAUGAGCCCGCGUGGGAUUGGCUAGCUGGUGGGGUAAAGGCCUACCAAGGCGACGAUCCAUAGCUGGUCUGAGAGGAUGAUCAGCCACACUGGGACUGAGACACGGCCCAGACUCCUACGGGAGGCAGCAGUGGGGAAUAUUGGACAAUGGGCGCAAGCCUGAUCCAGCCAUGCCGCGUGAGUGAUGAAGGCCCUAGGGUUGUAAAGCUCUUUCACCGGUGAAGAUAAUGACGGUAACCGGAGAAGAAGCCCCGGCUAACUUCGUGCCAGCCGCCGCCGUAAUAC